GAGAGAAGAGAGAAGAUGGGUUGUUGAACAGAGGAGAGAGAAAGGGAUUUUGGGAUAAAAAUGAAUUAAGAAAAGUAAGAAUGAAUCGGUAAAAGAGUGGGGAAAUCACGUGAGAAGGUGAAACGAAGAKAAAUUCAAUGGGUUUUGGUGGAGSCCACUAGUAAUGGUAUGAGAAAAAAAAAUGGUGGGUUGUUAAUGAAGASGGAGAAUGARUUAUAAAAUUGGAUUUAUGUGGAUUAAUUUGGAAGAUAAUGUAAUUUCAAUUGGAAACAAAAAUAUGUUGAAGUUAAAUUGGAUUAAGGCAUGAAUUCAUUUGGUAUUGAAUCGAUAUUUCAGGUGAAGCAGAAAUUGGAACGAAGGACGACCGAGUUUGAAGGAUUUGCUGAACCUGAGUAUCUGAGUUUCUGAGUUUCAAGAAGAAUUUAGUUCAGCUUCUGCCACCCCGAGUUGUUCAAGAGUUGCRUAUCCCUUUGUAUGUAAUUUAGUUGGUUUGUAAGAAAUUUUAUGUGCAUUCUGUUGAUAGGAAAAGAAUGUAUCGAAUGGAUGUAAGAAUGAUUGUUUGGUUAAGAUUAAUAUUUCAUUGUGCA